CUGGCUUGGAAUAUCGCAAGUCUGAAAUCCUCUCUUACCUGAAAGAAUUUGGGUUCAAGUUUCUCACCUUCCAGGGAAGUGACCUAACUGGCACCUAAAGGAUAUUCUGGUAGUGCAGAGACUAGAGCCAGCUCCAGGAUCUCCCCUGCCAUUUUGUCCACUGGUACCUGAAACUCCUCUACUUCAAUCAGUCAGUCUUACAGUUGUAAGAAGUUCUCUUGUGUGCUGGAGAGAGGUGUCCCAGACUGAGGAUGCUCAGCUGAUCUUCUAUACAGUAGAUUCCUCAGCUGAACACUUCUGCUGGCACUUCAGGCUGACAGAUUUGUCGGUGGAAGGCAGAACAAGAGAAAGCCAGGAUGAUGCUGGGCCUGGAAGAUACGAACAUCUUUUCCGAUGAACCAGGAUGGCUUUUGCACCCAAGACUGUUGAAUGCACAUGUAAUAAAUAUAGAGCAAAUAGCA
rnacentral:lncRNA from 1 species